rnacentral:rRNA from 1 species
UACGGGGGGGGCAAGCGUUGUUCGGAAUUACUGGGCGUAAAGGGCUCGUAGGCGGCCAACUAAGUCAGACGUGAAAUCCCUCGGCUUAACCGGGGAACUGCGUCUGAUACUGGAUGGCUAGAGGUUGGGAGAGGGAUGCGGAAUUCCAGGUGUAGCGGUGAAAUGCGUAGAUAUCUGGAGGAACACCGGUGGCGAAGGCGGCAUCCUGGACCAACUCUGACGCUGAGGAGCGAAAGCCAGGGGAGCAAACGGG